CUACGGGAUGCACCAGUGAGGAAUAUUGCACAAUGGGGGAAACCCUGAUGCAGCAACGCCGCGUGGAGGAUGACGCAUUUCGGUGUGUAAACUCCUUUUAUCAGAGAAGAAAAUGACGGUAUCUGAUGAAUAAGCUCCGGCUAACUCCGUGCCAGCAGCCGCGGUAAUACGGAGGGAGCAAGCGUUAUUCGGAAUCACUGGGCGUAAAGGACGCGUAGGCGGGUUUUUAAGUCAGGUGUGAAAUCCUAGGGCUCAACCAUAGAACUGCACUUGAAACUGGGGACCUAGAGUAUGGAAGGGGCAGGUGGAAUUAGUGGUGUAGGGGGAAAAUCCGUAGAUAUCACUAGGAAUACCGAAAGCGAAGGCGACCUGCUGGGACAUUACUGACGCUGAGGCGUGAAAGCGUGGGGAGCAAACAGGAUUAGAUACCCUUGUAGUC
rnacentral:rRNA from 1 species